UCCCCGGUGGUUUAGAGGGUAAAGCGUCUGCCUGCAAUGCGGGCGACCUGGGUUCGAUCCCUGGGUGGGGAA
rfam:TPA: Bos taurus chromosome 26, whole genome shotgun sequence.